rfam:Anaerobacillus alkalilacustris strain DSM 18345 Ga0137925_145, whole genome shotgun sequence.
CGGUGAUAUCUCCUUACCGUUAUCAAUGGGGGUACUCGGCUAUGCUGUGGGUAUUCGUACCUUAGAUGUUCAUUCAUCAUUGGUGUGGUGUGAGGGGGGGUUCGAUGCCUC